rnacentral:rRNA from 1 species
UUGAUGGUGCUUGCACCUGAUUGAUUUUGGUCGCCAACGAGUGGCGGACGGGUGAGUAACACGUAGGUAACCUGCCCAGAAGCGGGGGACAACAUUUGGAAACAGAUGCUAAUACCGCAUAACAGCGUUGUUCGCAUGAACAACGCUUAAAAGAUGGCUUCUCGCUAUCACUUCUGGAUGGACCUGCGGUGCAUUAGCUUGUUGGUGGGGUAACGGCCUACCAAGGCGAUGAUGCAUAGCCGAGUUGAGAGACUGAUCGGCCACAAUGGGACUGAGACACGGCCCAUACUCCUACGGGAGGCAGCAGUAGGGAAUCUUCCACAAUGGGCGCAAGCCUGAUGGAGCAACACCGCGUGAGUGAAGAAGGGUUUCGGCUCGUAAAGCUCUGUUGUUAAAGAAGAACACGUAUGAGAGUAACUGUUCAUACGUUGACGGUAUUUAACCAGAAAGUCACGGCUAACUACGUGCCAGCAGCCGCGGUAAUACGUAGGUGGCAAGCGUUAUCCGGAUUUAUUGGGCGUAAAGAGAGUGCAGGCGGUUUUCUAAGUCUGAUGUGAAAGCCUUCGGCUUAACCGGAGAAGUGCAUCGGAAACUGGAUAACUUGAGUGCAGAAGAGGGUAGUGGAACUCCAUGUGUAGCGGUGGAAUGCGUAGAUAUAUGGAAGAACACCAGUGGCGAAGGCGGCUACCUGGUCUGCAACUGACGCUGAGACUCGAAAGCAUGGGUAGCGAACAGGAUUAGAUACCCUGGUAGUCCAUGCCGUAAACGAUGAGUGCUAGGUGUUGGAGGGUUUCCGCCCUUCAGUGCCGGAGCUAACGCAUUAAGCACUCCGCCUGGGGAGUACGACCGCAAGGUUGAAACUCAAAGGAAUUGACGGGGGCCCGCACAAGCGGUGGAGCAUGUGGUUUAAUUCGAAGCUACGCGAAGAACCUUACCAGGUCUUGACAUCUUGCGCCAACCCUAGAGAUAGGGCGUUUCCUUCGGGAACGCAAUGACAGGUGGUGCAUGGUCGUCGUCAGCUCGUGUCGUGAGAUGUUGGGUUAAGUCCCGCAACGAGCGCAACCCUUGUUACUAGUUGCCAGCAUUAAGUUGGGCACUCUAGUGAGACUGCCGGUGACAAACCGGAGGAAGGUGGGGACGACGUCAGAUCAUCAUGCCCCUUAUGACCUGGGCUACACACGUGCUACAAUGGACGGUACAACGAGUCGCGAACUCGCGAGGGCAAGCAAAUCUCUUAAAACCGUUCUCAGUUCGGACUGCAGGCUGCAACUCGCCUGCACGAAGUCGGAAUCGCUAGUAAUCGCGGAUCAGCAUGCCGCGGUGAAUACGUUCCCGGGCCUUGUACACACCGCCCGUCACACCAUGAGAGUUUGUAACACCCAAAGUCGGUGGGGUAACCUUUUAGGAGCCAGCCGCCUAAGGUGAACAAA